UUACUGGGCGUAAAGCGCACGCAGGCGGUCUGUCAAGUCGGAUGUGAAAUCCCCGGGCUCAACCUGGGAACUGCAUUCGAAACUGGCAGGCUUGAGUCUUGUAGAGGGGGGUAGAAUUCCAGGUGUAGCGGUGAAAUGCGUAGAGAUCUGGAGGAAUACCGGUGGCGAAGGCGGCCCCCUGGACAAAGACUGACGCUCAGGUGCGAAAGCGUGGGGAGCAAACAGGAUUAGAUACCCUGGUAGUCCACGCCGUAAACGAUGUCUACUUGGAGGUUGUGCCCUUGAGGCGUGGCUUCCGGAGCUAACGCGUUAAGUAGACCGCCUGGGGAGUACGGCCGCAAGGUUAAAACUCAAAUGAAUUGACGGGGGCCCGCACAAGCGGUGGAGCAUGUGGUUUAAUUCGAUGCAACGCGAAGAACCUUACCUGGUCUUGACAUCCACAGAACUUUCCAGAGAUGGAUUGGUGCCUUCGGGAACUGUGAGACAGGUGCUGCAUGGCUGUCGUCAGCUCGUGUUGUGAAAUGUUGGGUUAAGUCCCGCAACGAGCGCAACCCUUAUCCUUUGUUGCCAGCGGUCCGGCCGGGAACUCAAAGGAGACUGCCAGUGAUAAACUGGAGGAAGGUGGGGAUGACGUCAAGUCAUCAUGGCCCUUACGACCAGGGCUACACACGUGCUACAAUGGCGCAUACAAAGAGAAGCGACCUCGCGAGAGCAAGCGGACCUCAUAAAGUGCGUCGUAGUCCGGAUUGGAGUCUGCAACUCGACUCCAUGAAGUCGGAAUCGCUAGUAAUCGUGGAUCAGAAUGCCACGGUGAAUACGUUCCCGGGCCUUGUACACACCGCCCGUCACACCAUGGGAGUGGGUUGCAAAAGAAGUAGGUAGCUUAACCUUCGGGAGGGCGCUUACCACUUUGUGAUUCAUGACUGGGGUGAAGUCGUAACAAGGUAACCGUAGGGGAACCUGC
rnacentral:rRNA from 1 species